UUAUUAUGAGAGUUUGAUCCUGGCUCAGGACGAACGCUGGCGGCGUGCCUAAUACAUGCAAGUCGAACGCUUCUUUCCUCCCGAGUGCUUGCACUCAAUUGGAAAGAGGAGUGGCGGACGGGUGAGUAACACGUGGGUAACCUACCCAUCAGAGGGGGAUAACACUUGGAAACAGGUGCUAAUACCGCAUAACAGUUUAUGCCGCAUGGCAUAAGAGUGAAAGGCGCUUUCGGGUGUCGCUGAUGGAUGGACCCGCGGUGCAUUAGCUAGUUGGUGAGGUAACGGCUCACCAAGGCCACGAUGCAUAGCCGACCUGAGAGGGUGAUCGGCCACACUGGGACUGAGACACGGCCCAGACUCCUACGGGAGGCAGCAGUA
rnacentral:rRNA from 1 species